rnacentral:lncRNA from 1 species
GUGAUGCGAGAGAGGUUUUCCCAAAAUCUUGAAGAAACAAGAACUACUACUUGCCUUGCUCAUGUGUUCCUUAGCCUUAUAUGUCAGUGAGCCCUUGCGAUCACCCACCUAGCUGGUGAAACCCAGUGGGAGCAGGAGGAGGUGGAAGGUGAGCUGGACCGAAGUCAAAAGCAGGGGAUAAAGUAAAGGAUGACAGAGGGCACAGAAGCCACCAGCAGAUUCUUUGGAAGGAAGUAACAGGAGUGGAACUUCAUUUUCCCAUGGAUUGUAAAGGGCUGGGCUCCCUUCCACCUCUUCUCACUGGCCUCCUGUUUGUACCCCUGACCUCUCCGGGAUCUGGAUCCCAACACUGUCUUCUGCAAUGAAAACCCUGAUUUUCUAUAUCUGGACAAAAGACUAGGACAUAACGAGAAUUUUAGCGGAAGGAACUGAGGGAGAGAGAUUGCACAGCAGACAAGGACAAAUAAAGGGAAGGUGGAAACAAGGGU